AGAUUGAACGCUGGCGGCAUGCCUUACACAUGCAAGUCGAACGGUAGAGUAGCAAUACUCGAGAGUGGCGAACGGGUGAGUAAUAUAUCGGAACGUGCCCAGUCGUGGGGGAUAACGUAGAGAAAUUUACGCUAAUACCGCAUACGAUCUAAGGAUGAAAGCGGGGGAUUCGCAAGAACCUCGCGCGAUUGGAGCGGCUGAUAUCAGAUUAGGUUGUUGGUGAGGUAAAAGCUCACCAAGCCGACGAUCUGUAGCUGGUUUGAGAGAACGACCAGCCACACUGGGACUGAGACACGGCCCAGACUCCUACGGGAGGCAGCAGUGGGGGAAUUUUGGGACAAAUGGGCGAAAGCCUGAUCCAGCAAAUGCCGCGUGCAGGAAAGAAGGCC
rnacentral:rRNA from 1 species